UACAGUGGCUUGAAGAUAACUGUCAAGGUACUAUCUUUGUCAUUCCAAGCUGGAUUAGUUGAACCUUUCAGUGGAACGAUUUGCUUGUAUAACAGAGAUAGAAGAGAAAAAUUGUCAGAAGACUUCUACUUUCACAUACUUCCAACAGAUAUGCAGGAUGCUCAGGGUUCUUUGGAUCGUCGAGGCGUUUUUUCAUUGGACACACAUUCACCAUCAA